GAUGAAGAACGCAGUGAAAUGCGAUAAGUAAUGUGAAUUGCAGAAUUCAGUGAAUCAUCGAAUCUUUGAACGCAUCUUGCGCUCCUUGGUAUUCUGAGGAGCAUGCCUGUUUGAGUGUCAUUAAAUUCUCAACUACACUGACUUUGAAUUGGUGUGGCUUGGAUUUGGGGGGAAAAUUGUUGUGGGCUUUUUGUAUAGUCUGCUCCCCUGAAAUUGAUUAGCGGUACCUUUGUGGAACUGUCUACAGGUGUGAUAAUUAUCUACAUCUUAGACAUCUGCUGGAAUGCUGCUUUCUAAACCUUACUUGUAUUGACAAUCUUGACCUCAAAUCAGGUAGGACUACCAGCUGAACUUAAGCAUAUCAAUAAGCGGAGGA
rnacentral:misc_RNA from 1 species